UACGGAGGGGGCGAGCGUUAUUCGGAAUUAUUGGGCGUAAAGCGCGUGUAGGCGGUCCGGUAAGUCCGCUGUGAAAGUCGGGGGCUCAACCCUCGAAUGCCGGUGGAUACUGUCGGGCUAGAGUGCGGAAGAGGCGAGUGGAAUUCCUGGUGUAGCGGUGAAAUGCGCAGAUAUCAGGAGGAACACCAAUUGCGAAGGCAGCUCGCUGGGACGUUACUGACGCUGAGACGCGAAAGCGUGGGGAGCAAACAGG
rnacentral:rRNA from 1 species